GGUCUGAGUUUGAAGUCAUGGGCAGGAUAAAAUGCAUAACUCAUUAUGAAUUCUUUUCUGUAAAUCAGAUUCAUUCGCUUUUGUUUUUGAAGCAGAACAUAGAGUACACCUAUGCUCUGUGACCAAGGAAGACUUGUUCCAGGGCCCUCCCUCCGGAACCAGAAUGCUCAGCUGCUCAAGUUCCUUAUGUAAAGCAGGGUGGUAUUUGCACAUAGCCUGUGAACAUCCACACACUUGAAGUAACCAUUGGAUUACUUCACGAGCGCCAGAUGAAAAAACUAAGGCUCAGAGGGAUUAAUUAACCUCCUCAAGGUCCCACAGCAAGUCAAAUACUUGAGUGUGUCUCAGUUCAACUUAGACCUUUUCGCUACACCAUGAAGCAUGCAGAGAGAUUCAAAGACACUGUUCCCGCUGUUUUGUCCUGCAGCGCAAACUCGGUUGACCUUCAGAAUACACCAUUCCCCUGCCAACCUUCCUCAAACCCCACCCAGAUGACUCACCAAAAACCAGAAGGCAGCAUCACUAGAGAAAGUCACAGAAACACUCCGAAGCUUUUCAAACCUCCCAGGCAAAGCGACCUAGCUCUGGGGGUUAGAUGCCAUCCACCAAGGGGUGUUUAGGAAUGUGUUAACAAUUCCCCAGAGAAGUCGGCAGGCUGGCCUGCUCCUGACUGAUGGUGCUGUCAUCUGCCGUUCCUUCCCGCUGUUCAGCAGUGCCUUCCACAGAGCGCGUUAUGAAGAUGGAUGGCAUCGUAACGCUACACCCAAGGAACUGGCACGAUGUCAGCGAGAAUUCUGCGCGCCACUCUAUUGUUCAUUACACUUCACAAUCACUUGUUAUUAAAUGAAAAUGAAUUUGCCAUUAGGGACUAGAUACUAUUUAAUAACUGCUCGGCAGUGUUUCAUGAUUAAAUUUCUUUCGCCUUUGUAAGUAGCUCAGCAGCCACGUGAGUAAAUGUC